AUGAGGCUGCGAAGCCUCGAGGUUAUGAGACCACUGCUGUGAGUUUUGCCCAAAUCUUUACAUGCCCAGUUGGUCUCAGCAAGACACCAUUAACUUACAGAGGAAGAAGAAAGGAGCCCCAUCUGGAGCUUAGAAAGCACAAAUCUGCCAUUCUCUCUUCGCAGGCUGGGGCCGUCUGAACAGAAGGUAGCAAGGAGUUGCCAUAUUCUGGCUCACAUCUCUGAUCGCAGCCAGGAACCAGCACCAGCGACGCUAACAGAAGGUGCAAUAAGAAGCUGCCUGAUGGCAAAUGAUCCAUGACUCCACGGAAAUAUCCUAGCACCUGGAGAUCAGUUCAAACCCUGGAGCAGGAGGUCUCAUCUCCCUUGCAAAUAACUCAGAAGCACUAACUGUGGACGUUGAGGAUAACCGUGUAAAUGUCCAGGUGUUGGCACGAGAGACGUACCCAGCUCUUCCUUUUAAUAACACGUUGCAUGGGGGGGGGAAAUACUGCUACUGAUUCUGAUUUUUUUUCCAAAUUCUGACAUAUUCUUCAUCGCUGAGCUGUGAUUAAUACUACUCUAUUAAAACCUCACAAAGUGCUUUCCAGAUAGAUAUUGUUAUUCACUUUACAGCAUGGGAAACCGAGGUGACAGCCAGCCAGCAGCGUGCACGCAGCCAGCAAGCACAUCGCCAGACCAAGACUCUGAAUCAUGGGCUGUGCUGCUUCCCUCCCCUGCAAACAACCCCAGCAUGCCCAGCAUAACAGUGGGUGAAAGCUGGGCUGCUGUGUGCUGUGGUUCACCAGAAGAACAGAGGAAUUCAGUGAUGAUGCAGAAAGAAACGGAAAAUCCCGUUGCAUAUCCAGGAGGGGAGAGAGACCAAAGGGGAAGGGAUAAUCAGAUGGAGAAAAAAAAAAAAUCUGAAAGAGCACCCAUCCCGGACACUUGAACUCCCUCAGCCGGAGAUCACACCAAAACUAGGCAGUGGGUGUUGCUGGGAGCAUCAAUCCCUUUUUCUUUCCCAUCUGGUUUUACUGCCAGAUUUUUAUUGCUCCUGCUUUCUGCAGGACACACAUCUCCUUAUGGCACAUCCAAAUGGCCUUAGAAAUAAAGGAAUGAGACCUCUCA
rnacentral:lncRNA from 1 species